rnacentral:rRNA from 1 species
CGCCUGUUUAUCAAAAACAUCUUUUCUUGUUAGUUUUUGAAGUAUGGCCUGCCCGCUGACUUUAGUGUUGAAGGGCCGCGGUAUUUUGACCGUGCAAAGGUAGCAUAGUCAUUAGUUCUUUAAUUGUGAUCUGGUAUGAAUGGCUUGACGAGGCAUGGGCUGUCUUAAUUUUGAAUUGUUUAUUGAAUUUGGUCUUUGAGUUAAAAUUCUUAGAUGUUUUUAUGGGACGAGAAGACCCUAUAGAGUUUAACAUUUAUUAUGGUCCUUUUCUGUUUGUGAGGGUUCACUGGGCCGUCUAAUAUGUUUUGUUGGGGUGAUGGGAGGGAUUAAUUUAACCCCUCCUUUUUAUUAUUAUAUUUAUUUAUAUUUACUUGAUCCAUUUAUUUUGAUUGUAAGAUUAAAUUACCUUAGGGAUAACAGCGUAA